rnacentral:lncRNA from 1 species
CCAAACUGAGACAGAAUCAAAUUGAACAGAUUCAUAUUGACAGAUCGAAUUAAGAAACUCGCGAGGACUUGAUCGAGAACCUAUCACUACUUAAAACUACAAAUAGAUCAAAGCAAUAACAAGAUCUCAAAUGGACUCUCGACUACCUAUGGAAGAGAUCGAACUUAAUCAAGACAAUCCUGUUCUAGCCAAUCGACCAGUUGACGAACAUGAACUUACAUUGCAAAGUUGACAAACCUCGCACCGAGAGCUCACUCCGUCGAAAAGUUGGCAAUGCGCCAAAGUUGAGUUGAUCACCUAUUUAUAUAUCGUAUCCUAACUAACCUGCCUGGAUAUGGAUCCGUAUUAACAACUAAUCUAUUACACUCGGACUCUAAUUAGAUAUAAAAUCCCAAACAUACUCGGACUCUGAUAAGUACCGAAUCUAUCUCUACUCUUCUAGGCCCAAUCGGACUCCAAUCCUUGUCCAAUACAAACUCUAUCGGCUGAAUUCGUAUCUUCUUCAACCUAUGCUUCCAGCCAAUUCCGCUUUGCCUAUCCGAUACUGUCUCUAAUCGCGCAUUAAUCCAUAACAGCAAUUUCCCAAAAUCUAGCGUUAACAUAUUCACAUGGUUAUUUUCCAUUCACUACUACAAAAACCAUUUUUGCCAACAGGCGGAUUGUAGUUUCGUAUGCGGUUGGCCAAACCACAAGUGAGAGAAGGUCUGCAAAGAUCACGAUCUUCGCAUGCGACCGGCCCAAAAAUGAAAAAUCACAAAAAAAUAAAAAUCCCCAAAAAACCCCUAGCCCCAGGCGCCUGAGCUCGCAGCCGCUCGCCACCACGCCGGAUCCGCCGUGCCCGAGCUCGCCACCGCCCGCCGCCAUCGUCGGCGCCAGCGAGGUCAUAGUCUUCACACCCGAGCCAGACCGCCAUAACUGAGCUCGCCGCCGCAACCCCCGCCGUCGUCGUCACCGUGGGGACAUCAUCGUCGUCGCACUGGAGCUGGAUCCGCCGUCCCCGAGCUCGUUGUCGCCGAGAGGGAGGGCAGCGGCGCCGGAUCCGCAUGGGAGGAGGGCGGACGACCCUAGAUACGCCGCCCCCGAGCUCGUUGUCGCCGCUGGGGGAGGGCGUCGGUGCCGGAUCCACGUGGGAUGAGGGCGACCGACCCUGGAUCCGCCGCCCCCAAGCUCAUCGUCGCCGCGGGGGAGGUCGCCGGCGCCGGAUCCACAUGGGAGGAGGGGGCCGACCCCAGAUCUGCCGCCCCUAAGCUCGUCGUAGCCGAGGGGAGCUCGCCGUCAUCGCCACGGGGGAGGGUGCCGCCGUCCCCCAUGUGCCGCCUAUCGAGAUCGUCACCGCCUCUCGAGCCCCGCGCCGCUAGCCUCUCGUUCUCCAUGUCGCCGGCCUCCGGCUGAGAGUUGAUAGAGAGGCUAAGAUAGAGGAGAGGAUUUGUGUGAGAGAGAGGAGACUAGGAGAUGACUGAGAGAGAAGAAGUAGAUAAGGUCGCCGGCUAGUGUGAGUUGAAUUUUUUUUAAAUGGCUAAGAGGGUAAUAGGAGGCCUGCAUGUAAAAAUAGAGCACUUAUUUUUACAUACGGACCACUUAAGCGCCCGCAUGUAAAAUCGUGUGUUUUUUAAAAUUCAAAUUCAUUUUUAUGACAUUAAAUCAACUCAUGUCAAAAAGUUAAAAAAGUUGC